rnacentral:rRNA from 1 species
UACGGAGGGUGCAAGCGUUAUCCGGAUUUACUGGGUUUAAAGCGUGUGUAGGCGGAUCUGUAAGUACCUUGUGAAAUCCCACGGCUCAACCGUGGAACUGCUUGGUAUACUGCGGGUCUUGAGCCACCUAGGGGCAAGUGGAACAAACGGUGGAGCGGUGAAAUGCGUAGAUAUCGUUUGGAACGCCAAUGGUGAAAACAACUUGCUGGGGGUGUGCUGACGCUGAGACACGAAAGCCAGGGGAGCAAACGGG